rnacentral:rRNA from 1 species
CUACGGGUUGCUGCAGUGAGGAAUUUUGCGCAAUGGGGGUAACCCUGACGCAGCAACGCCGCGUGAGUGAUGAAGGCUUUCGGGUCGUAAAGCUCUGUCAAGUGGGAAGAAUAUACGAAAUGCUAAUACCAUUUUGUACUGACGGUACCACUGAAGGAAGCACCGGCUAACUCCGUGCCAGCAGCCGUGGUAAUACGGGGGGUGCAAGCGUUAUUCGGAAUUAUUGGGCGUAAAGAGCACGUAGGCGGCCGCUUAAGUCAGAUGUGAAAGCCCGGGGCUCAACCCCGGAAGUGCAUUUGAAACUAAGUGGCUAGAGUAUGGGAGAGGGAAGUGGAAUUCCUGGUGUAGAGGUGAAAUUCGUAGAUAUCAGGAGGAACACCGGUGGCGAAGGCGACUUCCUGGACCAAUACUGACGCUGAGGUGCGAAGGCGUGGGGAGCAAACAGGAUUAGAUACCCCAGUAGUC